rnacentral:lncRNA from 1 species
AAGUUCUCCUUCUUCUUUUCCCUUGACCAGAAACAACCAAUAUGGUCUAUUAUGCCCCAGAGAGCCUGGGCCAGUUUGGGUUGUUAGACUGCUAACGAAUGGUAUUUCCAUCCAUGAAACACCAUUUUCAAAGCACUUUCAGUACCUCCUUUCAUCUGACGUUUGAAAAAUGUGGCAAUUAUCCGUAUGUCCAUUUCCUCAAACAUGAAAUGUGUGUGGAGGAUGAGUUCUUCCAAAUAUUAGUCCUCCAGUGUCUGUUGAAUGUGACAUUGGAAAGACCACUGGGCAGGGACUGCUGAGAUUCUGACUCAGUUUUCACUGUUGGCCCAGCAACUCCAUCUCCAUGUCAUUUUCCAGUCCCAGUUUAUCUUGGGCCUCGACUUACGAACACAGAUUAAUUUACAUAGUCAUCAAUUUAUAGUUGUCUAGUUGGAAUAGCACAUGCCCUUGAGUUACAUUCUGAGGUCAAACAGAUAUAAGAAUGGACUUAUCGGCCCAUCUACCACAUACUCUCUGGCUGAGUCACUUUUUUUUUUUAGGCUGAGUCACUCUUCCUAGAAGAAUGCUGUUGCUCGCUUUUCGGCUAUCCUUCAAAUUCAGGUGUAUUUCAGCUUCAGUAUCUAUUUAGGGCUUUUCCUCUUGCUCAUGUCCACAAAAGAAGACAGCAUUUAGCUGAAUCCUGUAAUUCCUUAUUCUAACAAUUUGGAAGUUACCUUUGAAGGAGUUGGAAUGUUGCUACUCAAAGGGGGGUCUGUGGGCAGCAACAUGGAAUGACCUGGGACCUAAUUAGAAAUGCAGGCUCGCAGGCUCCACUUCAUACUUAGGGUAUCAAAAUUGAUGUACCCAAGGUUCCUCAGGUAAGUGGUAAGAAAGGACAUUCAGGUUUAAGAAGCACUGGCCUAAAAGACAGGGUACUACUUAAUAGGGCUGAAAGUUGGCAAUCUGGGUCAGGCACAGGAUCUGAAGUUGAAGAAAUGAACAGCCUUUUAGAGGUUUGGUGAUGCCCGCUGUUCAAGGUUUUGGGCACUAGGGGGUGACCUUGGGUUGCACAGCUAAGUGAGCAUAGAUGGCCCCCACCCACUCUCCAGGAACCAAAUGGGCAUCUUGAAAUGGUGUAGAAUUAAACUUUUUUGGGGGGUGGGACUCUUGUAUUAAGUUUAGUCCAGUUAUCACAUAAUGACUGACAUUUAUUUAGCAUGAACUAUGUGCCAAGCAUUGUGCUAAGCCUUUUACAUGAAUGGCUUCAUUUAAUCCUCAGAGGUACAAUUAUUGCCCUACUUUAAAGAUGAAGAAAUUGGGGUCUGGGGAGGUUGGGAAAUACAUUUACGGUCACACAGCUUCUCCUUCCCUCUAUCAACAACCCUCCAGGGCAGGCCUAAUAGAGCAACCAACUGUAGUCCCUUUAAACAAUUAGAAUAGAAGAACAGAGAAUUACAUUAAAAUUUGGUGCAUUUUUGAUGUGCUUUCUUUGUGAGGCAGGAAAGCAGAGAGGUCAUUGCACGGGCUCUAAAAUUAUUCUGUCCAGCACAGGAGCCAUUGCUAAGGAUGAUUAUUGAGCAUUUGAAAUGUGGCUGCUGUGACUGAAGACACAAGUGUUUAAUUUGCUUAAUUCUAAUUAGUUUACCUUUAAAAUCUGCCACUUGGUUGUGUUACUGAAAAGCUUUUAAAUAAAUGAGGAGUUUGGGAUUAACAGAUACACACUACUCAUACACACUGGUGUUCAAAGAUUCAGUAUAAAAAAGAAUGUAUGAUAUUUCCUGAAUAAUUUAUAUAUUGAUUACACAUUGAAAUGAUCAUAUUCUGGGUACCUGGAGUUAUUGAAAAUGUACUAUGAAAAUUAGUUUCACCUGUUUCUUUUUACUUUUCAAAUGUGGGCUGCUAGAAAACUUUGAGCGAUGCAUGUGGUUCACCUAAUGUUUGUGUUGGACACUGCUGCUCCAGAGCCAGAUGGUUGGGUUCAAAUCCUCACUGUACCGCUUAAUAGUUGUGGGAACUCUGUGGGCUUCCAUUUCAUUUGCAAAAUGGCAUAAAAGUACCUCCCUCACACAGUUGUUGAGAAGGUUAAUGAGUUAACAUACAUAAAGUACUCAUUGGGUGACAGUUGCCUGUAGGCCUUUUGUGUCUCUGCAAGACUGGCAAGCAGAAGCACCGAAUCCCUUUGUUCUAAACUGUCUUAUCAGGGGUGCUUGCAUAGCAGACAGCCUUGGAAAAAUAGUUGUAGCUUGUGUCUCUAAUGCAAAGAUCAGGUGGGUUUGUCUACUGUCUAUUAUAAAAUAUAUGGUCACCCUAAGCUCAAACUUCCUCUUCUGAAACUCAACCCACUACAUGUGCGAGUAUGAUUUGGCCUUUUUUGCAUCACCCUAUGGGAUCUGGGGCUCAGAGAACCAGCUACUGAUCAUGGCAUUGCUGUGAGUAGUAAGCAGUCCUUUGUCUCUGACCCAGGCAUCUGGUGUCUUCUGCCAGCAUCCAUGAAAUUGUGGCCGGCUAACCUGUCUGCUUCACUAAGUAGUGUGGAAUCUCAGCCUCUUCACAGUUUUUGAUGGUUCUUAGAAUAGGUGCCUGGCACAUAGCACUGUGUGUUAGCUAUUAUUACUACUGCCUCCUGACUUCCAUUUAAUUUAGCUGAAUCACUACUGUCUUGUGCCUUUUAUGUCCACUUCCACUUAGAGCGAGAGCUUUUUCUUAUUGUCUCUUGGGUUUUUUUUUUUUAUUAUUAAUUUUUUUAAAAAAAUUGAAUUGUAGUUGAUUUACAUUGUGCUAGUUUCAGAAGUACAGCAAGUUGAUUCAGUUAUAUGUAUUACAUAUAUAUCUUUUCUUUGUCAGAUUCUUUUCCCUUAUAGGUUUUACAAGAUAUUGAGUAUAGUUCCCUGUGCUACACAGCAGGGCCUUGUUGUUUAUGUAUUUUAUAUGUAAUGGUGUGUGUAUGUUAGUCCCAGUCUCCUAAUUUCCCCCUCCUCCCUUUCUCCAUUAGCAACCAUGUUUGUUCUCUGUCUUCAGUAUGCUCUCUUUGGACCUCUGGCAUUCCCACUGGCUGUGCCUUAUUGCUUACCUAUCAUGGUGGCUUCAGGUUGCAUGAAGUGAAAUUGUUAGAGCUGAAUCUUAUGGCUCAGGCUAAUGGAUUUUGUUUUCUCUCUCUAAAUAUUGUUUCGUACUGCACCGAAAUUCUUCACCUCCAGGAGAAUUUUCUGGAACUAAAUACUGAGUCACAUCAUGCACUUUACGCCCCUAGUUCCUCUGACUAUACUUUCUCUAAUACAGAUGACAGUUUGACACAAGACAAGUGUCAGCCAUCCACCUUCUCUCCACCAACAAUUCUGUGCAUCUAAUGCUACUUCUUCACCUGUGUACACUCAGAGAUGAGCUUACACAUGAUCACUGUACAUAUGCAUAAUAGAUUGUGACUUUACUAUAAAACGAUACCCAGAGUUAAGCAUUUUAUUGGUUUUGGUCAAAGGCCAAUGUAAAAUAUUUUAGAGCAAAGAGUAUGUACAAUUACUACGUGGAAUAAGCUACAGGAUCAAAACAGAACAAAGUUGAAGGGAAUGUGAAACAUUUCAUUGUGAAUGAAAGGGAUAAUCACACAAACACAUCAUCAGAAUGUUUUAACUGAAUUCUCUGAGUUGCCUUUAGCUCUGGUUUUAAAAGUAGCCAAUAUAAAAAGAUAUCUUAUUUUUAUUUAUUUAUUUUAUUUUUUGUCUUUUCAGGGCCAUACCUAUGGCAUAUGAAGGUUCCCAGGCUAGGGUUGAAUCGGAGCUGUAGCUGUUAGCUUGCACCAGAGCCACAGCAACACAGGAUCCAAGCUGCAUCCGUGACCUACACCACAGCUCACUGCAACGCCAGAUUCUUAACCUACUGAGUGAGGCCAGGGAUCAAACCCUCAUCCUCAUGGAAACUAGUUGAGUUCAUUACUGCUGAGCCACAAUGGGAACUCCAGACACCUUAUUUUUAUAUUGGCAACUUAAACUUAAUUAAAAUUAAGUAAAAUUAAACAUUCGGUUCCUCCAGCUGCUCCAGCCACAGUUCAAGUGCUUGAUGGCCUAUGGGACUCAUGGCUACCAUAUUGGACUGUGCAUAUAUAGUACAUUUCCAUCAUCACAGAAAAUUCCAUUGAAGAGCCCUGUUCUCACAUUGCAUAGAUGUUUGAAUCAGAGAGUAAGUAUUGUUCUCUAGCAAACAGCACUGAAAUUUGCUUCCAAGGUAUUUUGGACAUAAUUCUAAAUAUGUUUACAAUUCUGAGGAAUCUGAUUAUACCUUGGUUUUAAGAUAAAGAUAUAAAACUUUAUCUCUAAAAGUUCAUUCAGUGGUUAACAAAUCUGCCUAGCAUCCACUAGAAGACAGGUUCUAUCCCUGACAUUGCUCAGUGGGUUAAAGAUCUGGCGUUGCCAUGAGGUGUGGUGUAGGUUGUAGACACGGCUUGGAUCUUGCAUUGCUGUGACUAUGGUGCCAGCCAACAGCUACAACUCCGAGUCAACCCCUAGCCUGGGAACCAACAUAUGCCAUGGGUGCAGCCC